CCCGGGCUCAACCUGGGAACUGCAUUCGAAACUGGCAGGCUAGAGUCUUGUAGAGGGGGGUAGAAUUCCAGGUGUAGCGGUGAAAUGCGUAGAGAUCUGGAGGAAUACCGGUGGCGAAGGCGGCCCCCUGGACAAAGACUGACGCUCAGGUGCGAAAGCGUGGGGAGCAAACAGGAUUAGAUACCCUGGUAGUCCACGCCGUAAACGAUGUCGAUUUGGAGGUUGUGCCCUUGAGGCGUGGCUUCCGGAGCUAACGCGUUAAAUCGACCGCCUGGGGAGUACGGCCGCAAGGUUAAAACUCAAAUGAAUUGACGGGGGCCCGCACAAGCGGUGGAGCAUGUGGUUUAAUUCGAUGCAACGCGAAGAACCUUACCUGGUCUUGACAUCCACAGAACUUUCCA
rnacentral:rRNA from 1 species